rnacentral:rRNA from 1 species
GAAACUUAAAGGAAGUUGACGGGGGCCGGCACAAGCGGUGGAGUAUGUGGUUUAAUUCGAUGCAACGCGAAGAACCUUACCUGGUCUUGACAUCCCGGAGACCCUUAGGAAACUAGGGGGUGCUUCCAUCUGGAAGAAUCUGGAGACAGGUGCUGCAUGGCUGUCGUCAGCUCGUGUCGUGAGAUGUUGGGUUAAGUCCCGCAACGAGCGCAACCCUUGCCUUUAGUUGCCAGCAGUUCGGCUGGGCACUCUAAAGGGACUGCCGGUGUUAAACCGGAGGAAGGUGGGGAUGACGUCAAGUCCUCAUGGCCUUUAUGACCAGGGCUACACACGUACUACAAUGGCCGAUACAAAGGGCAGCGACACUGCGAGGUGAAGCCAAUCCCGUAAAAUCGGUCUCAGUCCGGAUUGGAGUCUGCAACUCGACUCCAUGAAGUUGGAAUCGCUAGUAAUCGUGGAUCAGCAUGCCACGGUGAAUACGUUCCCGGGCCUU